GAUGAACGCUGGCGGUAUGCUUAACACAUGCAAGUCGAACGGACUCUUCGGAGUUAGUGGCGGACGGGUGAGUAACGCGUGAGAAUCUGGCUUUGGGUUCGGGACACCCACUGGAAACGGUGGCUAAUACCGGAUGUGCCGAGAGGUAAAAGAGAAAUUGCCUGAAGAUGAGCUCGCGUCUGAUCAGCUAGUUGGUGAGGUAAAGGCUCACCAAGGCAGCGAUCAGUAGCUGGUCUGAGGGGAUGACCAGCCACACGGGGACUGGGACACGGCCCAGACUCCUACGGGAGGAAGCAGGGGGGAAUUUUCCGCAAUGGGCGAAGGCCUGACGGAGCAAUACCGCGUGGGGAAAGAAGGCUCUUGGGUGGUAAACCUCUUUUCUUAGGGAGGAACAAAAUGACGGUACCUAAGGAAUGAGCAACGGCUAACUCCGUG
rnacentral:rRNA from 1 species